rnacentral:rRNA from 1 species
UGGGGGAUAUUGGUCAAUGGGGGAAACCCUGAACCAGCGACGCCGCGUGAGGGAAGACGGUUUUCGGAUUGUAAACCUCUGUCUUUGGUGAAGAAACAAAUGACGGUAACCAAAGAGGAAGCCACGGCUAACUACGUGCCAGCAGCCGCGGUAAUACGUAGGUGGCAAGCGUUGUCCGGAAUUACUGGGUGUAAAGGGAGCGUAGACGGGUAUGUAAGUUGAUUGUCAAAUGCAGAGGCUCAACCUCUGUUCGCGAUCAAAACUACAUAUCUUGAGUCAAGCAGAGGCAGGCGGAAUUCCUAGUGUAGCGGUGAAAUGCGUAGAUAUUAGGAGGAACACCAGUGGCGAAGGCGGCCUGCUGGGCUUGUACUGACGUUGAGGCUCGAAAGCAUGGGGAGCAAACA